rnacentral:rRNA from 1 species
GACGAACGCUGGCGGCGUGCUUAACACAUGCAAGUCGAACGGAAAGGCCCUGCUUUUGUGGGGUGCUCGAGUGGCGAACGGGUGAGUAACACGUGAGUAACCUGCCCUUGACUUUGGGAUAACUUCAGGAAACUGGGGCUAAUACCGGAUAGGAGCUCCUGCUGCAUGGUGGGGGUUGGAAAGUUUCGGCGGUUGGGGAUGGACUCGCGGCUUAUCAGCUUGUUGGUGGGGUAGUGGCUUACCAAGGCUUUGACGGGUAGCCGGCCUGAGAGGGUGACCGGCCACAUUGGGACUGAGGUACGGCCCAGACGGCUACGGGAGACAGCAGUGGCGAAUAUUGCACAGUGGGCGGAAGCCUGAUGCAGCAACGCCGCGUGCGGGAUGACGGCCUUCGGGUUGUAAACCGCUGUCGCCUGUGACGAAGCGUGAGUGACGGUAAUGGGUAAAGAAGCACCGGCUAACUACGUG